UCCUCAUCCCAUUAAAACUUUUCUUCCUAAAAUAUCUCAACCAGUGUUGCCCCUUUAACCCCCACUCCCUCACAUCCUCCUCUCACGUAACACACACGACACGCACACACGACACAGUCCACACAAAAUAUAAAUACACACACAACACAGAUACGUAGAAGAUAGAACAGAAAAACACAACGUAGACAAAAAACAAAAACACAGAGAGAGCGCCAAAAAAAAAAAAAGAGUAAACGGAGAGAAAAAAAAUACCUAGAGCAAUUUAGGAGUUCCAAAAAGGUUUUAUCCGAGUUCAAGGUUUUUAUUUGCGGUUUCGAGUUCAUGAACCUAAAAGUUAGCUUUUGUUAACUUGGAAAUUAGUAGAUUGUAGCCAUUUUCUUGUUGCAAAUUAAUCUAAGCAAAGGUAACACACAAUUUUCUUGUAUAGUUUAAUGCCACAAUUAUGUGAGAUCUGAUUCCAAUGUUAUGAAUUUGUUAAGAUUUCGUAUGUCUCUAAUUAGUUAAUUGUUCUUUGACGUUAUAAUAUGAAGUAUGUUUAGAUUUUUGUA